UGCGCAGGCGGCUCGUUAAGUCGGAUGUGAAAUCUCACAGCCUAACUGUGAUAGGUCAUUCGAAACUGGCGGGCUCGAGGACUGGAGAGGAGACUGGAAUAGUCGGUGUAGCGGUGAAAUGCGUAGAGAUCGACUAGAACACCGGUGGCGAAGGCGGGUCUCUGGACAGUUCCUGACGCUCAGGCACGAAAGCCAGGGGAGCAAACG
rnacentral:rRNA from 1 species